UACGGAGGGGCUAGCGUUGUUCGGAAUUACUGGGCGUAAAGCGCACGUAGGCGGCUUUGUAAGUUAGAGGUGAAAGCCCGGGGCUCAACUCCGGAAUUGCCUUUAAGACUGGCAUCGCUAGAAUUGUGGAGAGGUAAGUGGAAUUCCGAGUGUAGAGGUGAAAGUGCGUAGAUAUCCGGAGGCAACACCAGUGGCGAAGGCGACCUUCUGGACCGCUCCUGACACUCAUACACGAAAGCUAGGGGAGCAAACGGG
rnacentral:rRNA from 1 species